rnacentral:piRNA from 1 species
UGCAACUUUUGAAAAGUGCUUGCCAUAAAGG